AGGAUAAACGCUGGCGGCGUGCAUGAGACAUGCAAGUCGAACGGACGAUCAGGGCUUGCUCUGAUCGUUAGUGGCGGACGGCUGAGUAACGCGUAGGUGACCUGCCCCGAAGUGGGGAAUAACUGCCCGAAAGGGUGGCUAAUACCGCAUGUGGUGGUGUGUUCAUUCACACCAGUAAAGCCGCAAGGCGCUUCGGGAGGGGCCUGCGUCCGAUUAGCUCGUUGGUGGGGUAACGGCUCACCAAGGCGACGAUCGGUAGGUGGUCUGAGAGGACGAUCACCCAGACUGGGACUGAGACACGGCCCAGACUCCUACGGGAGGCAGCAGUCGGGAAUUUUGCGCAAUGGACGAAAGUCUGACGCAGCAACGCCGCGUGAGGGAUGAAGGCCUUCGGGUUGUAAACCUCUUUUAUCAGGGAAGAUAAUGACGGUACCUGAUGAAUAAGUCACGGCUAACUACGUGCCAGCAGCCGCGGU
rnacentral:rRNA from 1 species